rnacentral:rRNA from 1 species
UGGGGAAUAUUGGGCAAUGGGCGCAAGCCUGACCCAGCAACGCCGCGUGAAGGAAGAAGGCUUUCGGGUUGUAAACUUCUUUUGGCAGGGAAGAAAAUGACGGUGCCUGACUAAGAAGCCCCGGCUAACUACGUGCCAGCAGCCGCGGUAAUACGUAGGGGGCAAGCGUUAUCCGGAUUUACUGGGUGUAAAGGGAGCGUAGACGGCAAUGCAAGUCUGAAGUGAAAGGACGGGGCUUAACCCUGUGACUGCUUUGGAAACUGUGUAGCUUGAGUGCCGGAGGGGUAAGCGGAAUUCCUAGUGUAGCGGUGAAAUGCGUAGAUAUUAGGAGGAACACCAGUGGCGAAGGCGGCUUACUGGACGGUAACUGACGUUGAGGCUCGAAAGCGUGGGGAGCAAACAGGAUUAGAUACCCUGGUAGU